UAGUGAUACAUCGCCACUGUUCUUGUGCACCUGGAAUGGCCUUGUGCAACCACACCGUUGCACUUCUGUUCCAGACAGCUCACUAUUUGCAGCUGGGAACAACUAUUGUUCCUCCAGUUCACAGCUGUACUGAAACAGAACAAAGGUGGCACAAACCGAGAACCAUGGGUGUGCAACCUGGACCCAUUCAGAAAAUGGAAAUUAAAAAGCCUACCUCAACAGCUCAGUUGAAGGAGGGGUUAGGAGUUCACUGUACAAAGGGCUCAUCGGAGAGUUACCAGACCUUUCUGUGCUGCAGGUAUCUGAUGCAUACCAGGACUUUGACAUUUUAUCCAAGCCACUAGUAACAGGGCAGACUGCAGAGAUGAGGAGGGGUUUGGAAAUGUAUUCUGGAGCAGUUAGGGAAUACUGCAUGUUGAAAUAUGUGAAUUAUUCACCCUGUGGGCUUGUAAUUCACCCAGAUGCACCUUGGCUUGGUUCUUCCCCACAUAGCAUAAUUUAUGAUCCAAUGGAGCAUCCACCUUUUGGCUUGGUGGAAAUUAAAUGUCCUAAUGUAAAAAACUAUGUUGACUGCAAAUACCUACAAAUGCAACAAGGUAUUUUAGCAUUGAAAAGCCAGCAUGCCUACUAUUGGCAGGUGCAAUGUCAGUUACUGAUUACAGGACUUGAAUGGUGUGACUUUGUUGUAUGUGCCCAGGAAGACAUGUUGGUGCAGCAUAUUUAUCGUGACCCUAACAUUACACCAAUGAUCAGAAAUAAGGCUGACCAAUUUUACUUUUUUGGGUCCAUGCCAAAGUACUUGUCCAUCAAAAAAUGAAGUGUUGUGGUAAAGAAAAGUAGAAUUACUAAAAAUGUUUUCUUACUUAUCUAAAUUACACUAAAAUCUACAGAAUUUGCCUUUUCUCUACACAAUUUGUAGUCCAGGCCUUCAUUCUGUCAAGACUGAACUCAUCUCCCUUCUUAUCUGCCCACUUCAGCUCAUGCAGAACUCUGCUGCUCGCUUACUGUUUUACCUGUUCAGACUGCACCUGUAGACACUGCAGAUCUUCAUUGCCUGUAUUGCACACUUGUGCUCUGUUGUACUUUAUAAUCCCGGUAAUAUUUUUUUUUUAAACUACCUAUUGUUUGUUGUAACCAUAUUCUAUGUAAACUACACCUUUACAAUUCACCCUGGACAAUGGUACAGGCAACAAAAAUAAAUUACUAAUAAUGCAAGGAAAUAAGACUAAAUGCAGAAGUGAUAUCAAAAUGAAAAUGAUGCCAUUUGUUUAGAAGCAAGCACACUCAGAGUUUACAGAUCUGGGAGUAGCCGUGAAUGAGGCAAUCUGAAACGGGUUAUCUCUCUCCUGUCCCUCUUAUACAGUUCUUUCCCUAAUUUCACAUACAUGUAGAUAUCACUUGAUUUUGAGACCAUUCACAAAAGAGUGCAUGUUAGCAAUUCUCAGAGGCACAGAAAAAAAGUAGAGAAAACAGAAGAGAAUCUCAAGUGUUAACAUUUUGAAAUUAUGCUUACAAUAAUAAUUAGUAAUAGAUUGCAGGCCAAUUUUUUUGCCAUAGUUUAGCCAUUUAUAAACAUUUUUCUGUAUGUAUUUUAUGUUAAAAAAAUAUGCUUAAAUUGUACAUUAACCUAUAAAAUGUUUGAAAAAAGCGAUGAGACUUUUUUAUAACAUUCAAUGAUUUACAUUUAAUAGCUUCAGACCAAAAAAAAAGAUCAGUCCCCAAGUUGAGCAAAACACACAGCCCUAAUACAAUAUUUUAUUAUUUUUUUGGCUAACAUGAUACCACUGAUUGUUACUAUUAGAAUUAUUAUAUAUAUUUUUUUAAAUACCGUUGAUUUGCAAGGAAGCAUGAUUUCUUCACUCUUUUCUGCGGCUGUUCUUGAUCUGGCGGUAGAAGGUUCCAUCAGCUGCCAAAAGGCCAUCAGAUGGCGGUAAUUUGCAAAUCUGUGUGGAAUGUAAACAAUAAUAACUAAAGACAACACUAUACACAACACGCAUUUUUACCAUUAUUGUUUUAAUCUAAAAAAAUGCUACAUUUACAAUAAAUUAUGCUUAAACAUUUACUUACCUUGUGUAAAAUCGGAUGUCCUCAUCCGAGGUGGCAAAUCCGAAGCGUUGUUUUACAGUCAUUUCUUCUAAUUUGGUUUUCAGUUCUUCAAUUUCCUUUGACAGCUCUUGAUUUUUUGACAGUGCUACAUCAAGGGCUGCAGGUUGUGGUACUGAACAGUAAUCGUGGGUCAGCAGCAUUACUGAACAGUCCAUUGCGUCUUUUUCGGUGACAGGCUCAGGUUUUUCUCUCCUCUCCCAAACACCAAGCCUUGGCUGUUGUUGACGAUAGUCAUUCCAUUGAAAGAGCACUGGUACCGAAUGCUUUUUUAGCCAUCGCCGCCCUCCACAGGUUGCUUUGAGCACAUCACUUUUAACAAAGUGUCUGCUGCACACUUUUGUGUGUUUUGUUGCCGUAAAUUGCUCUCGGCGGAUGUUGUUGAGCCACUUCUUUUUAAGUUCUUCAUUUACAGGAAAAGAGUGAAAGUUUACACUCGAGUUGUAUCGCGAUGACGUUGAACAAAAAGGGACACAGCAAUGCUCCGAGGUGCUUCCCUCUCGUUUCUGAUAUUUCACAGAUUUCGGUUUUGUACCUGUGGCACUCAUUGUACAAAUAAAACAAUAUCUAAUAGAAUAAUAACGAAAUAAUCUUCAAUAAACACACGUAUACCAAAAAUGAACUACAAUCACCAUCAACAAGUAUUAAACAGGAAGUAAGUAUGCCGGUAAACCGGAAGCCACUAACGCCAUCUUGUGCACAGAGCCUAUUGAGAACAAUGGGCUGUGUCUGAAUGAGAACAACCAAUGAGAAACACCCCAUGUGGACUCGGGCACAGCCCAAAAUAACCAAACUAACCAAUCACAGGGUGGAAGAACAAAACCGGCCGCGCGACUUUCAGAAACAGGAGUUUGCCCAUGAGAGUGUUGGAGUUCGGAGGAACGAAAUGGAAGCUAAACUGCUCUGAAGAAAGUUCCUGAAGUCAUGGGAGCAUAAAGUGCUCGAAUUCACAGAAGGCAAAGAAGAGCCAACGUUCUGAAGAGUGGCUAAAAUCAGCUUUGAAGACAGCUGCAGCUCUUUGCCCUACGAGAGACAGAAACAGUAAAUGGAAGCAUAGCCAGCAGCAGGACCUAAGGUCAUGUACUAGCCGUACAGAAGAAUUGCAACGAGAACACAUCUACGAACUACAUAACUUUUCAAUUGCAACGCAUUAUCUGAACUGAGUUACGUCAGAUCAACAGAACUAUUUCCAGUUGAUAAACUGCCAACAAAAACUAUAAUGCUGCAAGAAAAGAACUAUAUGUUUAUUGCGAGCCUAUGCAAUACAAUGCAUACAGCAAAAUACCGUCUUCAUUGGAAGUUCAGAUCCAAAGAGCUGCAGUGUUCAUCAACACAGAUUGACUUCUUUAUAUGAAAAUUCAUAAGUAUUCAACAUAUCUAAUAUUAAAUACUUUAUGACUCGAGAAAGUAACUGUAGUAAUGCUAUCAAGUUAGUAGAUAAACUGUUCUAGAAAUAGAAUAUAACUUCCUGUUUUAGAGUGUGUAAGAAAUGUAUUUUGUUUGUUGAAAUGUGCAACUCAAAGGAGCUGUCUCGCAAUUGCAGAGAAUUUGAUCAUUGCCCCAUUUCUGAGUUAAUUUGAAUAUAUAAUCAACUGAGGUUGAUAACAUAUUAAUAGUUUGGUACAUCACGUCUAAACUAAAUUAACACGGUAAAACUAAUUUGCUAAAUUAGGUACUAGAAUGUUGGAUUCCGUUCUGAAUGGAAAGUUGAAUUAAUUCUCGUGCAUAUUGACAUGAUCGAUUACAACGAGAAAUGGGUAUUGGAAAUACUAAUGCAAAGUAGACACUUAGGGUGAUAAGCCAUAUUUAAUAUUAGUAUAUUAACCAUGUAUAUGCUAAUGAUGUUAUGGUUGUUGUAAUCGUUUGACUAUGGAACCAAUGAACUGUACACUUGACGCAUAUCUCUAACCAAUAGCCUUUCCUUUCUGUAAUAUUAGAU